ACGAUUUAGGUUCCAACAAGGAUUAAUAGGGAACGUUGUGAAAAUCAACGACUAUACCCGUAGCUGUGAGUUCUGAAUUUGUUUUUUUAGACAAAGCCACUGACAUUCUUUAAGUUGGGAAGGCAAAAAAACGAGAACAAGUCAGAAGACCUACCUAAAUCA
rnacentral:ncRNA from 1 species